GGCCUACCAUGGUGGUAACGGGUAACGGGGUGUUAGGGCACGACACCGGAGAGGGAGCCUGAGAAACGGCUACCACAUCCAAGGAUGGCAGCAGGCGCGCAAAUUACCCAAUCCCGACACGGGGAGGUAGUGACAAUAAAUAACAAUACGGGGUUCUUUAGGAUCUCGUAAUUGGAAUGAGUACAAUUUAAAUCUCUUAACGAGGAACAAUUGGAGGGCAAGUCUGGUGCCAGCAGCCGCGGUAAUUCCAGCUCCAAUAGCGUAUAUUAAAGUUGUUGCAGUUAAAAAGCUCGUAGUUGAAUUUCGGGGUUAGUAGGUUGGUCAUGCCUCUGGUAUGUACUGAUCUCACUGAUUCCUCCUUCCUUAUGAACCGUAAUGCCAUUAAUUUGGUGUUGCGGGGAAUUUGGACUGUUACUUUGAAAAAAUUAGAGUGUUUAAAGCAGGCUAACGCUUGAAUACAUUAGCAUGGGAUAAUGAAAUAGGACGUUCGAUCUUAUUUUGUUGGUUUCUAGGAUUGACGUAAUGAUUAAUAGGGAUAGUUGGGGGCAUUAGUAUUCAAUUGUCAGAGGUGAAAUUCUUGGAUUUAUUGAAGACUAACUACUGCGAAAGCAUUUGCCAAGGAUGUUUUCAUUAAUCAAGAACGAAAGUUAGGGGAUCGAAGACGAUCAGAUACCGUCGUAGUCUUAACCAUAAACUAUGCCGACUAGGGAUCGGAUGAUGUUAAUUUUUUAAUGACUCAUUCGGCGCCUUACGGGAAACCAAAGUGUUUGGGUUC
rnacentral:rRNA from 1 species